UACGUAGGGUGCGAGCGUUGCCCGGAUUUAUUGGGCGUAAAGGGCGCGUAGGCGGCCACGCACGUCCGUUGUGAAAUCGCCCGGCUCAACUGGGCGGGGUCAGCGGAUACGGUGUGGCUAGAGCAAGCUAGGGGGCAAUGGAAUUCCCGGUGUAGUGGUGGAAUGCGUAGAUAUCGGGAGGAACACCAGUGGCGAAGGCGGUUGCCUGGAGCUUUGCUGACGCUGAUGCGCGAAGGCUAGGGUAGCAAACAGG
rnacentral:rRNA from 1 species